AACCAUAGAAACCUGCGGAGUACCUGCGGAAGGAUCAUUACCGAGUUUACAACUCCCAAACCCCUGUGAACAUACCUAUACGUUGCCUCGGCGGAUCAGCCCGCGCCCUGUAAAAAGGGACGGCCCGCCCGAGGACCCUAAACUCUGUUUUUAGUGGAACUUCUGAGUAAAACAAACAAAUAAAUCAAAACUUUUAGCAAUGGAUCU
rnacentral:misc_RNA from 1 species